AAAACCGGUGCCAAAAUUUUGUGUGCAAGGGCAAGGCGAUAUGAGAUAAUAUAGUGGUGUUAAAUUAUGUAUAAACAAAAAUAAAUAUAGUAAUAAAAUAGCCAUGAAUCUUCGCCUACAUCAGAGGCUGAUAGGGCCAACAGAAUAACAGAUAGAGCGAGGAUAAAAUAAAAGCUGAGUAAAAGGAUCUCUAUGGCCACCACGAAAACCCUUGCGAGAAGCACACCUGAUGCCCUCUGUGAAAGUCUGAAAGUGUUAAAUAAAAACGGCCAAUCUGACGGUGCUGCUUAUGACUGCCUUUGGCGGAAGAAAGCAUGCACUAUUUUCUUGUUGUUUUGGGAUCUAACAACAAAAAUUUGGUAUUGUUGUAUGGAUAUAAGAACUAUACACAUUGUUGAAAACUAGAUAAAAACACAAGAAACAAAUGAUCAACUCUGCCAGUCUGCCAAGUUUUCUCACCAAGGUUGGACGUGUUGGCUGUUGGAAAAAUGCCGUUGUGGAAUGCUUGGUUUGGAAAAAAGCCUGGAACUACAGGAAAAACUCCAGAAGAUGCCCAAAGUUGAGGACAAAGAGAGGCUCAGCACUGAUCAGACAACUGCAACUCGCAAGCGUCGUUGCGAAGAAUUUGUCGAUACAAUUAAUGGCUGGGUCAUGUGUGCCAGGCAGCGAGACUGAGAUCAAGCGCCAGCAAAUGAUGGAUGACAUUGCUCACUACCUCUACCAAACAACCACACCACUAAAAAAGCGCUACAAUGCUGACCGUGAAGUGACAGAGUCGCGAGUGCCACGCAAUGAGUCUAGGCCUGAACAUCAGCAAGAGACUCAGCAGGUUGCUAGAAACGACUAUUACUCUACCAUGGUACCUUUGCGGCAGCCAGUGAUUGCUGACCUUGAACAGACAGAGUUGGCAGUGCCACGCUGCAAAACUGCAGACAUCAAGCGCCAGCAAUUAAUGGAUGAUAUUGCUGAGUACCUCUACCCAACAACCACACCACUCAAAAAGCGCUACAAUGCUUGCUGACCGUGAAGUGACAGAGUCGCGAGUGCCACGCAAUGUCUGUGUGCAUUUCUAUGGCCUUGGGGAAGGCAGCAAUUUGGUCCAAAUGACUGGAUUAAAUUUGCCUCAUGAUCAAGACCCCUGCUGGAGAAGAUAUUCAGCAGCAAAACGAACAGAUUGCACAAGGCCAAAUCAAUGCUGUGGAAUCCGAUGAUAAUGGUUCCGCUGGAGAUGACGAUGCUAAGGUUGAAGACUUGAUUGGAGAGGUGACUUAUGGAAACAAUGCUGAGGUGGAAGAGGACAGGCCCUUGGCGGAGACCGGGAAAACAUUUGUCGACUUUGUCAUGUAUGUUAAUAUGUAUCGCCCUAGUAAAUGAAAAAUUGUAGGUAUAAUAUUGCAAAAUUUCAAUAUUUAUGCAACAUUUGUCCAUUGAUUUUUUAAAUGAGCCAAUAUUAAUCCAAUUAAUUCUCAUUUAUUGUAGCAACAAUUAUUUCAACACUAACUCACAUUACCAAAUGCGAGUAUUAUUUUGCUUUUAAUAAAUCAAUCCAGGAAUUUCAAAUUAAAUUUGAUUAACGUAAAUUAAUAAAAUUAAAAAACUUUUAAAAUACCAAG